CUCCUGUGACGCUGAAGGGGUUAAAACCCCUCCAGCAGCUUACCUUAUUCCAGCGCCGGGCUCCCUCAGCGCUGGUGACCUCUCCUCACCAUCCGAAGUCAGCUCCCCGUCCGACGUCAGUGGAGCUGAAUGCGCAUGCACAGCAAUGGCCGCGCGCCCAUUCAAAGUGUCCAUAGGAGAGCAUUUCUCAAUGCUUUCCAAUGGAGGCGAAAUUCGCCUCCUGCGUCUCAGAUGCGCCUCUGGUGGCUGUCCGGAAGACAGCCACUAGAGGCUGGAUUAACC